AAAAGAUCAUUAAGGUAGUAGUACAUUUUAAACGAAACCAUUAUAAAUUUGACGGCAUUCAAUAAUUAGAGGAACCUGUUUUUUAAACGAUAAUCCACGUUAAAUUUCACUUAAAUUAAAAUUCUAUAUACCCCCAUCUAGCUAUAUUUAUAAAAAUUAUACCUUAAUAUGCUCUAAUACUUUAGGUAAGGUGUAAACUAUACUUAAGAUAAAAUGGGUUACAUUAAAAGCAAUUUAAGGACAUCUCAAUAAAAAUUGACAAUAAAAAAGGAUUUAACAGUAAUUUUUUACUAAUAAUUCAUCAUGAACAAAAAUAUAAAUGUGU
rnacentral:rRNA from 1 species